UAGCUAGUUGGUAGGGUAAGGGCCUACCAAGGCGACGAUCGGUAGCUGGUCUGAGAGGAUGGCCAGCCACACUGGAACUGAGACACGGUCCAGACUCCUACGGGAGGCAGCAGUGGGGAAUAUAGGACAAUGGGGGCAACCCUGAUCCAGCAAUGCCGCGUGUGUGAAGAAGGCCUGAGGGUUGUAAAGCACUUUCAGUAGGGAGGAGGGUUGAUUGGUUAAGAGCUGAUUGACUGGACGUUACCUACAGAAGAAGCACCGGCUAACUCCGUGCCAGCAGCCGCGGUAAUACGGAGGGUGCGAGCGUUAAUCGGAAUUACUGGGCGUAAAGCGUGCGUAGGUGGUUGAAUAAGUUAUCUGUGAAAUCCCUGGGCUUAACCUGGGCAGGUCAGAUGAUACUGUUUGACUCGAGUAUGGGAGAGGGUAGUGGAAUUUCCGGUGUAGCGGUGAAAUGCGUAGAGAUCGGAAGGAACACCAGUGGCGAAGGCGGCUACCUGGCCUAAUACUGACACUGAGGCACGAAAGCGUGGGGAGCAAACAGGAUUAGAUACCCUGGUAGUCCACGCUGUAAACGAUGUCAACUAGCUGUUGGUUAUAUGAAAAUAAUUAGUGGCGC
rnacentral:rRNA from 1 species